UACGGAGGGUGCAAGCGUUGUCCGGAUUUAUUGGGUUUAAAGGGUGCGUAGGCGGCCUCUUAAGUCAGUGGUGAAAGCCCGGGGCUCAACCCCGGAACCGCCGUUGAUACUGGUGGGCUUGAGUAUGGACGAGGUUGGCGGAAUUGAGGGUGUAGCGGUGAAAUGCUUAGAUACCCUCAAGAACACCGAUUGCGUAGGCAGCUAACUAGGCCAUAACUGACGCUGAGGCACGAAAGCGUGGGGAGCAAACAGG
rnacentral:rRNA from 1 species